rnacentral:rRNA from 1 species
UGUACCUCUGGUGUACCAGUUGUCGUGCCAACGGCAUAGCUGGGUAGCUAUGUAUGGACGGGAUAAGUGCUGAAAGCAUCUAAGCAUGAAGCCCCCCUCAAGAUGAGAUUUCCCAACUUCGGUUAUAAGAUCUCUCGAAGAUGACGAGGUUAAUAGGUUCGAGGUGGAAGCGUGGUGACACGUGGAGCUGACGAAUACUAAUCGAUCGAAGACUUAAUCAA